rnacentral:rRNA from 1 species
UACGGAGGGGGCUAGCGUUGUUCGGAAUUACUGGGCGUAAAGCGCACGUAGGCGGCUUUGUAAGUUAGAGGUGAAAGCCCGGGGCUCAACUCCGGAAUUGCCUUUAAGACUGCAUCGCUAGAAUUGUGGAGAGGUAAGUGGAAUUCCGAGUGUAGAGGUGAAAUUCGUAGAUAUUCGGAAGAACACCAGUGGCGAAGGCGACUUACUGGACACGGUAUUGACGCUGAGGUGCGAAAGCGUGGGGAGCAAACAGG